ensembl:snoRNA Gm26016 small nucleolar RNA SNORA17
CCUGACCCUAGGGGCAUUGCAGGUGUGGUUGUGAGACAUGCGUGUCAGUAGGUGGCAGAGAGGAGAGAGGCUAUGUCUACACUCGGCGAUCUGAUGUGUGAACAUCUGAAUGAUUAGUAGCCUAACACU